rnacentral:lncRNA from 1 species
UUUUUUUUUGGCUGUCCUGGAACUCACUUUGUAGACCAGGCUGGCCUCGAACUCAGAAAUCCGCCUGCCUCUGCCUCCCGAGUGCUGGGAUUAAAGCCGUGCGCCACCAUGCCCGGCUUAAUUAAUAUGUUUUAUCACGUCAAGAAGCAGUAAGAAGGCCCACACCAGAUGUCAAAUAGAUAUUAGGAGUAUGCUCUUAUGCUGCCCAGAUUCCGGAGCCCCAGACAGAGAGACAACUUUUAAUUCCUUACAGAGGAUCUGGUCUCAUAGUUAGCUUAACUGUCAGCUUGGUAUAGCCUCGAGGCACCUGAGAGAUAUUCUCCACUAAGGGGUUGCCCGGGGCGGAUUUGGCCCAUAUGAGUAUAUGGGGAUUGUCUGUUGGUGUAGAAGUCCCCAGUAUACUGUGUUCACCACUGUUCCCUGGCAGGUGGUCCUGUGCUCUGCACAAAGGCUCCUAGGCAGGAACCUGUGAUGGAUGGAGUCAGCAAGCAGUGUUUCUCCACGGCCUCUGCUUCAAGUCCCUGGUUUAGUUCCUGCCCUGACUCCUCUCACCCAUAGGUGUCCUGGAAGUACAAGCCAGAUACACUGUGUCUUCCCUGAAGUUGCUUUUUGUUGAGGUAUCUGUCACACAGGGAAAGAUUAAGGAGUGCACCUGAUCUUUUGUUAAGGCUAUAGAAGGCAGACUAAGAAACCCAUUACUGUCUAUAGUUUUUCUUACUUUUAGAUUUCCUUGGAAAACUAGCAGAUAAGUCUCUGCCUGACCUUCAGUGACAAUGACUCCUAGGAACUUUCUAGUGCUUUCUGUGUCCUGUUUGCUGAAUACAAGCAGUUAGCUAGUCAUUUCACCAGACUGAAGGCAGUUUGUUCUGGUCACUAGCCAGGUAGCAUCUAACUUGUCUGGUUUCGGGUGCAUUUUAUUGUUGCCGUUAGUAACUAUUAUAAUAGCAAAUUUCAUGUGGGAGCACACGCCCUUCCUUCCUUCCUUCCUUCCUUCCUUCCUUCCUUUCUCUCUCUCUCUCUCUCUCUCCCUCUCUCUCUCUCUCUCUCUCAAUGACUGGAAAUUCCAGUCUUGCAUGUCCCCAUUAAAUACAGGAAUAGACCUGUGAUUAGACCCUUUGGAACCCAUCUUUGUCUAGGGCCAAAUCUUUAUUCAAAUGAGGGAAACUUGAAGAGUGAAAGUCUGAAGCCUUCAGGAUUGGUCCCCUCUGCACUGAUGUUCCCAGGCUCAGUGUCCAAGCAGACAAAAUGAAAGCCACCUCUCCCACAGAGCCCAGCGGCUCUCUAAUCCAAGAGCCAUCUUUUCUGGCUGAACAAAAUAAUAUUCUGUACAUAGUGGCUUGAACUUUGGUACAGGUUUGCGCAAGUCAGUUUUUGUCAGUUUAGAGUCACCUGAGGAAGAAAGGACCCCAGCCAAGGGCUUGUCUCCCUCAGACUGGCCUGUGGGCAUGUCUAGAUUAGUGAUUGAUGUGGGAGGUCUCAGUAUACUGUGUGUGGGGCCAUUCCAGGGCACAUGGUCCUGGGUUCUACGAGAAAGCAGGCUGAGCAAGCCCUGGGGAACAAGCCAGGAAGCAGCCCUCCCCCAUGGCCUCUGCUCUCACUCCUGCCACCGGGUUCCUGCCCUGCUUGAGCUCCUGCCUUGGCUUCUGUCCAUGAACCCUGGUGUAGAAAUGUAAGCCAAAUAAACCCUUUCCCCUCCC